rfam:Gossypium raimondii Chr06_contig_951, whole genome shotgun sequence.
AGGGAUGUAGCGCAACUUGGUAGUGGGUUUGUUUUGGGUUCAACAUGUCACGGGUUCAAAUCUUGUCAUCCCUA